CUGUUUAUCAAAACAUGUCUAUUGAUGGUAUAAAUAGUCUGGCCUGCCCACUGAUUUAAAUAUUUAAGGGCCGCGGUAUUUUAACCGUGCAAAGGUAGCAUAAUCAUUAGGUUUUUAAUUAGAAUCUUGUAUGAACGGUUCGACAAAAGAAAUUCUGUCUUUAUACUAAAAUUUGAAAUUAACUUUUAAGUGAAAAGGCUUAAAUAUAUUAAAGGGACGAUAAGACCCUAUAAAACUUUACAUUGUAAUUUUAUUUAAUUAAAUUUAUAAAUAAAGAUUUGAUUUAAUUAUAUGUUAUGUUGGGGAGACAAAGGUAAAAAUAAAUUUUAACUGCUUUAUGUUGAAACAUAUAUUUAUGAAAGUGUUAAAUGAUCCUUUAUAAAGAUUAAAAGAUUAAGUUACUUUAGGGAUAACAGCGUUAUUUUUUUCGAGAGUUCAUAUCGAAAAAAAAGUUUGCGACCUCGAUGUUGAAUUAAAAUAUCUUUAUAGUGCAGUAGCUAUAAAAGAAGGUCUGUUCGACCUUUAAAUUUUUACAUGAUUUGAGUUCAAACCGGCGUGAGCCAGGUUGGUUUCUAUCUUUUAAAUAAUAAUAGGUUAUUUUAGUACGAAAGGAGUAAAUAACUAAAAUAUUUUUAUAUAG
rnacentral:rRNA from 1 species